AGUUUAUGUGAAGGUCUGGUGUGCUGGGGUUCUUUUUAUACACACCCACUAAUUGAUUGAUCAAUUAUUGAUCACAGGUGAGGCUGUAAUCUAGGAUUGGGUGCAUCAUAUGACAAGGCGACAAGACUUUCGUCUUUGCAAAAACUGACUCAGUGGGCUUUACCAAGCUGUAAACGUUUUCAGCAGUUUCGUUUGGCACCAAAACAUUAUUUCAAAAGCUGUUGGGGUUGAAAUUAGCCAUUUCUUGUAAAAAAAAAUUGAUUAGACAUAUAUUUGAGGGGCACUUAAGGUCAACUUGUACCCAAGCGACAAGACUUUUGUCAGGGACUGUAUAUGUGUGUGUGUAUACACACCAUUCCAUAGCCAUUACAUUGUGUAAUCAAUGUUACUCAAUGAUAACUUAAAGCAAAAAAGUUGUCCAUUUCCACUUAAAAUACCAGUCAACACCACAUUGCUUCAUCUUAUUAGACAUUUAUUGCAAGAGCCCAAACAAGUCACACAAGCUUACUUUAUACCCACAAUCACACCCACCCAAGAGUCAGCUGCAGGUCAGCAACACAAUGUUUUUUGCAGAUAGAAAUGUAUGCUUCCGCAGACUUCAUGUGUCUGAGCACGGUGGUUUUGAAAAAACUGUGCAGCUAACACUGUUCCCUUGGUCAUGCAGUACACACAUUUUCAGGCUUUCCAAGAAAGUGCAUCCCUUAUUGUGCAACGCAUCCUGGCACAUGCAAUAGCAAUGUUACACAAGCUGUCUGCGGCUAAUGGGGUUUCCAACGCCUGUCCAAGGAGCAAGGGUCUAUUUCCUUAUAUGGUAAGAAAAUUACAAUUAACCUUUCAUUGGUUAUUCAAAGUAUGCAUGAUAUCCUGAACGUAAGCAUCUACAGAGAGUGCGUGCAGAGGACAAUGCAUGAUCUACGUGGCGAGGAUGCUGUUUCAGUCUCUUAAGUAAAGUCAAAAUUAGCACAUUUUUUGUAGCUUUUUGUUGUCUCCUAAUAGUUGGAUAUUCAUCUACAGGACGUAAUUUAAAAACCUCUUUAGAAAACUGACUCUGGCCUUCCUGAUCUGAAGGUAUGUAAUGUUUCCUACCUGUUCAUAUCAAAUUAAAGCACAGAUAAACAAUAUACUGUUGGCAUGCUUUAACCAAUGUGUUAUUAUCCUGCUUCAAUGAUAUUUACUGCAGCAGACUGCAGUUUAUCUACAGGUUGUUUUUCUACAAGAUUGAUUCACUGACUUUUUUAAAGCUCAUAUGUAACUUUAGCUGAAUUAUCGUUCCCCUGAAUAUCCAAACAUUGUUCAGUCCUCUCACUGUGGAGGACUGAAAGUGCCACAAUUAAAUAAAUAAAUACACCAUUAAAUAAUUACUUAAAUUAAUUAAUUAAAAUUGGAAUUAAAUACAUAAAUGUAAUAUUAAAUGUGUCAUUAAUUAAUUCAAAUACCGAUUCAUUUAAUGUAAAAUACAUAUAUCAUUAUUUCACUAUUUACAUUUACAUUUCAUGGUCCUGCGUUGCAGUGCUUCAUGAAUUACUGAAUAACUGUCAAACUCAUUGGGCGGGGCCAACGCAAAUCUAGCCUGAUCCAUUGCUUUGGUCUGAAGUAGAGUGCCAGGAAGAUCUUCAUGAACUUUCUAGGGCAGAGGUCGCUAAAAGGCGAGUCUGGACCCAGACACCGUCCUAUGCGGACCCAGACCUAUAAUCAAUUCAUUAUUGAGGAUUCUAAAUUUUGAUGGGGAGCUUCUAUUUUAACCAGCAUAGCUUUUUUAGUCUUUACGGUAUUUGUUUAGCAGAUCAGGAAGCUCACAGACCAAUGCUAGUUAAGCCAUCCCACUUUAUGCUGCUCAGCCAAUCAAAUCUGUUUAAGCAGCGCGACUGAAUACAGAGAUGAGAGCGAUGAGAGAGGAGAGACAGACAGAAAGAGAAGUCACAGAGACAUGGAGAGGAAACGGAGAGAUGAGUGAGCUAGAGACAGACAGAAAGAGGAGUCCCAGAGACNUGGAGAGGAAACGGAGAGAUGAGUGAGCGAGAGACCACAGAAGAUUUAUGGCGCUCUCUAAGAAGAGAAAAGUGGAUAGAAAAUCGAGCUUUUAAUGGACAGAUUCUUCACAUU
rnacentral:lncRNA from 15 species